rnacentral:lncRNA from 1 species
AGUAGCUGUCUGUGAAGAUGGAGGGGGAUUACGCCUCGGAUUCUUCUGAAAUAUUGGCCAAAGGCUUCAAAGGAUCCGCAGCGGGAGGCGAGGGUGGGGGAGCAUCUCCCCAGCUCGCACCCACCCCUUCCCACUUUGCGUCUACCAAAUGACAGGCUGGUGCUCGCUCUGGGUGAUUUUGGCCUUGGCCUCAGCCAAGCAGCUGAUGCAGAGGAGGGCCAGCUUUGCAAGACUGACAGAACUCUGAAUGCUAGAGAAAGAAGAAGAAAAAGAAAAAGAAUUUUUUUUUUCCGAGCAGUCCUUGGGAGAUUUUCUCGUUCUCUCUCGAUUUAUUUAUUUAUUUCUAUUUUUUUUAACCGACUAUUUUCCAAAUUCGAUCAGCCCCAGCCCCUCCCUCCACUCCCACCCAACAGCCUUCCCCCCACCCCCCACCCCCGGUCAAAGCAUAAACCACAGAGUUACGGUCUUCUUUGGAUUUUGGAGUAUCGCUUCCUGCCCCCGCCUUCCCUCCCCGCCCCAUUCUCUGUCCUAUUGAACACCUCGCCCAGCCUAGAGCUCACAUUCUCCCCCUGCUCCCGAUGGCGCUCCUGGAAGCUCUGCAACUAUGCUCCACUUCAAAUGGGACUCAUUUGACUGUGCUCUGUGUCCUGUGAUCUUUUGCUCUGUGCCUGUGUGUUCUGUUUCAGGGAGGGUAGACC